AAGAAUCUACAGGUCGAGCAAGUCUCGUAAAUUUCACGAUUGCGAGCCACGCUUCACGCAACCGUGUUUGCGUACUUGUGUUUCGAGUUGCGUGGUCGUGCGGAGUUAUAUUUACCAAAUUUAAAUAUAAUCGUUUCUACUGAUUCAUACGCUGUCAAAAUUAAAUCAAUAUGUCAAUAUGGCUACUGGGUGUAAAAGAUAAAUCUUAUUCUAUCUGUUCUUAAUGAGUUUUAGAUAAUUUUAGUUGUAUUUCUUUGUAAUUUUGUGUUGUACAAAGAUUAAUUUAACAUUUUCUCUGGAAGUAUUAAUUUAGAAAGAUAAUAUGCUUCAUUGGUGUUGUGUUUUGAAGUGUGAAAUGCAAAGUAAUUGUGAUAAAGUCAAGAUAAAGUUCACUUUUAAACUGAACUAAAUAAGGUAUCUGAGAGACAACAAUGGUUAAAUGCAAUACAAUGUACAGGUUUUACUAGCGAAAUGAAAAUUUUCCUGUCCUGUCUGCUGUAAUCAUUUUAUAUCUGGAAAACCAGCCGACUUAAUCGAUAAUAACAAUCUCCAGAUUGGGUUCCUUCAAUAAAUAUGGGCUAUUAAUACAAUGAAAUAAGUUCCAGAAAAUCUAAAAUGGAGUGGUAUCAAAGGAGAAUUAAAGGAAAAAAUAUUCAUAUUGAAAUUAUUUAUAAGGCACUGGACUGUCUUAAAUUCUACAAUAAUACUAGAAUCAGCUGAGAGAAGUGGUCUACAAAAAACCAGGAAGGAAACGGAAUAUGUGGCUACGAAAGGCAAAAGAAAGGUUUACAAAGCAAAUGUGACACAUUUUUUUGAAAUAUGUAGGAAUAUCAGUAAAUUGCAUUAAAAAAAUGUAUGAAAAGAUUUUGUUCAAUAAAAAUGUUUAUAUUUA